rnacentral:rRNA from 1 species
AUUGAACGCUAGCGGGAUGCUUUACACAUGCAAGUCGAACGAGUGGCGGACGGGUGAGUAAUAUAUCGGAACGUGCCCAGUAGCGGGGGAUAAAUACUCGAAAGAGUGGCUAAUACCGCCUACUAUUGGAGCGGCCGAUAUCGGAAUAGCUAGUUGGUGGGGUAAAGGCUCACCAAGGCAACGAUCCGUAGCUGGUUUGCGAGGAAGACCAGCCACACUGGGGCUGAGACUCAUCCCAGACUCCUACGGUAGGCAGCAGUGGGGAAUUUUGGACAAUGGGGGAAACCCUAGGACAGCCAUCGCGCGUGUAUGAGAUGGCCUUCGGGUUGUAAAGUAAUUUUGGCAGAGAAGCGGUAUCUGCAGGAUAAGCACCGGCUAACUACGUGCCAGCAGCCGCGGUAAUAC